rnacentral:rRNA from 1 species
UACGAAGGGGGCUAGCGUUGUUCGGAAUCACUGGGCGUAAAGCGCACGUAGGCGGAUUGUUAAGUCGGGGGUGAAAUCCUGAGGCUCAACCUCAGAACUGCCUUUGAUACUGGGGAUCUCGAGUCCGGAAGAGGUGAGUGGAACUCCGAGUGUAGAGGUGAAAUUCGUAGAUAUUCGGAAGAACACCCGUGGCGAAGGCGGCCAGCUGGGCCGUCCCUGACGCUGAGGAGCGAAAGUGUGGGGAGCGAACAGG